AAGACAGCUGAAUGAUAGUCGGGCUGAAGACUCUACUUGACUAGCUGAGAGGAGGUGCAUGGCCGUCGUCAGUUCGUACUGUGAAGCAUCCUGUUAAGUCAGGCAACGAGCGAGACCCACGCCAACAGUUGCCAGCUCGUCCUCCGGGGAUGGUGGGGACACUGUUGGGACCGCCUCUGCUAAAGAGGAGGAAGGAAUGGGCAACGGUAGGUCAGUAUGCCCCGAAUAUCCCGGGCUACACGCGAGCUACAAUGGUUGGUACAAUGGGUAUCUACCCCGAAAGGGGACGGGAAUCUCCUAAAACCAAUCUUAGUUCGGAUUGAGGGCUGCAACUCGCCCUCAUGAAGCUGGAAUCCGUAGUAAUCGCGUUUCAACAGAACGCGGUGAAUACGUCCCUGCUCCUU
rnacentral:rRNA from 1 species